CUUUACCUCCGCAGCUGAACACGGUUGUUUCCGGGGGUCUGAAGGGAACAUGGGAGCAGGUCAGGACGGGAUGUCUUCGGUUCGGGACUUCAUCAGAGACAAACUGUCCGCAGCGGCUCAGCAGAUCUUCUGCCACUUUGAAGAAACCGCGGACCGUCGGUCCGGACCGCUGGACCCGAACCGGAGAGGCCGAACCAGCAGCUCCAACAGGACAGAUGUCCCACAGCAGCACAGUUACACAGAGCAGAUUCUGAUGGACCAACUGGACCCGGAACCUGUUCAGAUUAAAGAAGAACCAGAGGAACUGGACUGGGAUCAGCUGGAGAGCAGGACCUUCAUCCUGGUCCGGUUCAGGUCAGAAUCUGAGGAAAUCUUUGCUGCUGCUGCUGAGAAACUCUUCAGCGUCUUCGUCCAGUUCCAGGAGGAGCUGGACCGCCGGCACCGCCCACUUCCUGUUUCUGAGGGACCGUCACCUGGAACAGAAGCCGUCUGUAAAGAGGAAGAGGAGGUUGUAACUGAUGAAGAGUUGUGUCACCAGGAGGAGGCGGAACCUCCUCACAUCAAAGAGGAGGACGACGACAGCUUCGACACGGUUAUUGUGACUUACGAUGACAGUGACCUGAGUGAUCCAGGACCGGACCCUGAGCCCACAGGUUCUUGUCAGAUCUGUGGAGAGGACUGCAGUCAGAGUAGUCAUUUAAAGACCCACCUGAGAACUGACACAGGGAAAGUCCCGCUGUCAGAAGCAGAACAUCUGUUCAUGGCAGCUGUAGGGAGCUCCGAGGAGGAAGAUCUGUCUGAUCCGUCUGUGGACGAACACCUGAACCUCUUCCCUGCGGAGCUGCAAGAUGAUGAUUCUGAAGAUGAAUAUUUUCCACCUGACUCACCUGAGGAGGACUCUGAUGAAGACGAGUCGGCUCCUGAUGCAGCAGAGGACGGUGAGAGGAGGCGUGGACAUUCAGCCCACAAACGCAGGCGUGCAGAUGUUGAGGAUGCCGGUGAGCCUGAAGUAGAGUUGGAUUCUUCAGGCGUGGAGUCGUCACAUCAUGAGCUGUUUUAUGUUUCAUCAUCAGAACUGGAUGAGGACCAGCGAGGACCUGGAGCAGGGUGGACGUCGGCUCCUUUCAGACCAGACUUGGUCCAGUUCCAGGGUGAAGAGGACAGGCUGAGGGACGGGCGAGCCGCCUGGCAGCCUCAGGACUACGUGGAGCAGUACCUGGACUCGGAGCUGAUGAAAGUUCUCGCUGACUGCACCAACUCCACGUCGCUGGCGAAGAGCGGGACGUCCCUCAACACGUCCGUGGAGGAGGUCUAUCACUUCUUUGGAGCAGCCGUCCUCAUGUCUUGUGUCCGUUACCCUCAAACCCGGAUGUUCUGGUCCAACUCCCUGAGGAUCCCCGCCAUCGGGGAUACCAUGUCCCGGGACCGCUUCUUCAAACUCAGGAGCAACCUGAAAGCUGUGGUCGAUGAAGACGUUCCAGGACACGAGAGACAAAGGGACAAGUUCUGGAAGGUCAGACCUUUCGUGAACCGCGUCCUGUACGGCUGCCGUCUUCAGACUCGACCUGGAUCUGUCUCCGUAGAAGAGCAGGUGAUCCCGUUCACCGGAGCCGGCCCGGUCCAGCACCGCGUUCUCCUAAAGCCUAGUCCAGUUGGAAUCAAGACCUUUGUUCUGGCCUCAGUGGAUGGACUUGUGCUGGACUUUGAAGUCUACCAAGGUGUAAAGACUCUGAGGUCCCAGGUUCAGGACUCUGUGGGUCUGGGUCUAGGAGCCCUGGUGAUCCAGCGUCUGUCUGAGACUCUGGCUGCCGGGACUAGAGUCUACUGUGACCAGGCCUUCAUGAGCGGAGCAGCUGCGGAGCUGAUGAUGAGGAGGCAGGUGUACCUGACGGGGCCGGUGAGGAAGAACCGGGUCCUCAAAGCCACCAAGAAGCUGCCGAGUGACCGGACCCUGAAGCGCUGCGGACCAGGAGCUUCGGCUGCCACUACACGAGCCGACGGUCGGCUGUGCUUGGUCAAGUGGUCGGACAAGAAGCCGAUGCUUUUCCUCUCCGCCGCUCACGCAGAAGAACCUAAAGACACCUGCCGGAGGUGGUCCAAGGAGGACAAGGACUACGUGACCAUCACACGGCCGAGCGUCGCCCGACACUUUAACGCCACGAUGGGCGGAGUCAAGCUGUCCGACAGGAUGCUGAGCUGCUACAGGAUGAGCGUCCGCUCCAAGAAGUGGACCGUCUGUGUCCUGAUGCACUUCACCGACCUGGCUCUGGUCAACAGCUGGCUGCUGUACCGCCGAGACCAACAGGACCACGGCGCCCCUCCAAAGAGCAUCAUGAGGUUCCUGGAGUUCCGCAUGGCGGUGGCCCAGGUGUUCCUCAACAAGCGGGACCUCCUCCUUCACGCAGAGCCAGGGCGAGAGGAGGAGCGACCUCCACAGUCAGGGAGGAGGUCUCGGGUGGUCCCGGUCCCACACGUCUCCAUCCGCACCUGUUCUGCCGCUCACCUCCCAGAGAUGGCCGACCUGAAGAACCCGAAGCGCUGCAGGGGUCAGGGCUGCUCCGGGAAGUCCCGUGUUCGCUGCACCAAAUGUAACGUGUUCCUGUGUUUACAGAGCGAACGCAACUGCUUCGCUGCGUUUCACCAACGCCUGUAGGUCCUGAAAACCCUCCUGUAGGUCCUGAGACCCUCCUGUAGGUCCUGAAAACCCUCCUGUAGGUCCUGAAAACCCUCCUGUAGGUCCUGAAAACCCUCCUGUAGGUCCUGAGAACCUGUUAUCAGGACUUGAAAACCUGUAGGUCCUG